GCCGGUGUAGCUCAGGGGUAGAGCGUUUCCUUGGUAAGGAAGAGGUCUUGGGUUCAAUUCCCAACAUUGGCU
rnacentral:tRNA from 1 species